AUUGAACGCUGGCGGCAGGCCUAACACAUGCAAGUCGAGCGGAUGAAGGGAGCUUGCUCCUGGAUUCAGCGGCGGACGGGUGAGUAAUGCCUAGGAAUCUGCCUGGUAGUGGGGGAUAACGUCCGGAAACGGGCGCUAAUACCGCAUACGUCCUGAGGGAGAAAGUGGGGGAUCUUCGGACCUCACGCUAUCAGAUGAGCCUAGGUCGGAUUAGCUAGUUGGUGGGGUAAAGGCCUACCAAGGCGACGAUCCGUAACUGGUCUGAGAGGAUGAUCAGUCACACUAGAAAUGAGACACGAUCCAGCCUCCGCGGGGAGCAACGAGUGGGAAAUAUUGGACAAGGGCCAAACGCUUGACCCACCCAUCCGGCGUGUGGAAAGAAGUCUUUGGGAUUUAAAAGUCUUUUAGUUGGGGGGAAAGGAAAGUAAUUAAAUCCCUUCGUGUUUGGACUUCCCCAAAAAAACAAGCCCCGACUACCUUCGUC
rnacentral:rRNA from 1 species